CCUACGGGGGGCAGCAGUGAGGAAUAUUGGUCAAUGGGCGUAAGCCUGAACCAGCCAAGUCGCGUGAGGGAUGAAGGUUCUAUGGAUCGUAAACCUCUUUUAUAAGGGAAUAAAGUGUGGGACGUGUCCUGUUUUGUAUGUACCUUAUGAAUAAGGAUCGGCUAACUCCGUGCCAGCAGCCGCGGUAAUACGGAGGAUCCGAGCGUUAUCCGGAUUUAUUGGGUUUAAGGGGUGCGUAGGCGGCCUUUUAAGUCAGCGGUGAAAGUCUGUGGCUCAACCAUAGAAUUGCCGUUGAAACUGGGAGGCUUGAGUAUGUUUGAGGCAGGAGGAAUGCGUGGUGACGCGGUGAAAUGCUUAGAUAUCACGCAGAACCCCGAUUGCGAAGGCAGCCUGCCAAGCCAUGACUGACGCUGAUGCACGAAAGCGUGGGGAUCAAACAGGAUUAGAUACCCGUGUAGUC
rnacentral:rRNA from 1 species